UGUUUUGUGGCUUAGAUGGUAAAAGCGCCGGACUAACGACACGGAGUCGUGGGUUCAAAUCCCACCAAAACAA
rnacentral:tRNA from 1 species